AACGGCCAUACCACGUUGAAAACACCGGUUCUCGUCCGAUCACCGCAGUUAAGCAACGUUGGGCAUGGUUAGUACUUGGAUGGAUGACCGCUUGGGAACACCAUGUGCUGUUG
rnacentral:rRNA from 1 species